rnacentral:lncRNA from 1 species
GUGAAUGUGGUAGACUUAUACUGAGGAGCUAAAGAAAGAGUGGUGGAAGUAUUGAGGUGCAUUUGACGUGGAAUGGAUUCUGAGGCAUGCUGUGGUGCAUCAACAAUAGUAGGAAACUGACUUUGUGAUUUUGGUGGAAGACUCAAGGUAUUUGCAGGGUCAAAAGUGGGGAACGGAGGUGGAGGCAGCCCACUGGCCCAAUCUCGG